ensembl:lncRNA
GCAAGUUCUGACUCCACAGACUCAUGUUCUUGUCCUCAAGGCUUCCUUCUUCCGCCUCUGUUUUUGUGUCACCCCUGACGCCACUCUUUUCCCUCUGCCUCUGUCUCAUGUCAGCCCCGAGGUCUCAUCCUGGCCAACUGCGCUCGGGAACAGAAGCGGAGGACCUGCGUCAGUCAGCCCGAACCUGUCCUUCUCCACCGGACACUCGCCAAAAGCAAGUUGUAUUCACAGUUUUACGAUUUUUUAAAACAUGGAUUUCAUGGUCGUUGGUGCUGGGUUACAAGAAAGAGCUCAGUGGACUAGGAGAGAAAGUGAUGAAAAUGGUGGGACAGGACCAUCAAGUGAAACUCAUGCCAGCAGGAGGUCUGGUGAGGCGGUGGGAAGAGGAAAUCCCCUGCUGGCUGUGCUGCCUGUUCACCGGGGCCGGGAAGAGUUGCCGCCAGCCUCCCCAGUUCCACCUGCAACUCGGGGAAGGAAGCAUUCGUUCUCCGGAAUAACACAGAUGAUGUUUACCAAAAUUGGGUUGCUGACCCCAGUACAUAGCUCUGCUCCUGCCACCCGACUACGCUUCCUCUGCUUGGACUUGACCUCCCGGGAGCAAGGCUGGCACAACAGUGAGGGCACCACCAGUGUGGAGUCCCUGGAGCCAUGCCCUCAGAUUGGAAAAAGCCUCAGGGAACGGCUGGCGACAGUGGACGGAGUCUCUCCUGGCUUCUUGGUCCUGCACCUCUGCGUCUCCCAGUUCCCCUGCAGUGAAAAGGCCUUGAGAGCUGUUGUGGGCAGUCCCUCCUGCUGGUUGUCAGGCACGAGGAGCAGCCCGAGUUCUUGCAGGAGGCAGGAACAGCCUUUGAAGUGGGAGAGCUGACGACAGCGUUUCAGGUCCCCCAGUUUUCUACCAUUAAAGCCACUGGCAAAUCAGCCCAUGGUUGUGGAUUGAAGUUUUAUUGCAAAAUAAUUGACACCUGUCACUGUGUAAGUUGAAGGCACCAAGCAUGAUGAUUUUAUUUACGUACAUCGUGAAAUGAUUCCCACAGUAGAUUCAACCAACAUCCAUCAUCUCAUGCAGACACAAUAAGAAGAGAAGAAAGAAAAAAGAAGAAAGGAAAAUAUUUUUCUCCUUUGAUGAGGACUCUUAGGAUCCACUCGUCGAGCUUUCCCGUGUGUCGCACAGCAGCGCUGACCUGGGUCGUCGUGUGGCACAUUCCGACCCGGGACGUAGUGUCUGUAACAGGAAGUCUGUACCUUUGCCCACCUGCCUCCACGUCCCUCCCCACCCUCUGCUCUGGUGACCACAAGUCGGAUCUCUUUCUCUAUGAGUUUCGUUGGUUUUUUUAGAUCCCAUCUGUGAGUGAGGUCAUACGGUAUUUGUCUUUCUCUCUGUAUUUCUUUCUAAAUCAAAUCCUAUCUCCUUUUAUCUUUCAGAGAUUUCUCUAAUAUUUGCUGAUCACAUUCUUUUUCAUUUGUCAUUACAUCAUAAAUUUAUUCUUGUUUUAUUGAACCUUUCCUAUCAUUUCAAGGAUGUGGUAGUAGGAGGAGUCAAGAAUAGGCGAGCUAAGUCGGCCCUUUUAAGAUCAGAUCCAAACCACUCUGGACUUCAGGCCAAUGAGGAGUUCCCAGAUUAUUCCUUCUGAUUGGCCCAGAAUUUGUGUUGAGACUUUUAGGUUCUGAACAAGUUAAAAGUCGAUUCCUAUGAAGAAGGCUAUCAUUGCUAUCAUUGUCUUUUUUUCUUUUAACAAAUUUCAGGAUUUUAUUUAAGUUUAUUUCGAAAAUAAAUCUAUUACCCUUAUCCUCUACUCUCUGAAAAGUUUCAUAGAAUAUUAAUUAUAUGUGUCAAUCAACUUAGAAUACUUAGUUUUAUUCUCUAUAUAUUUUUCCUCACAACUCUAUAGUAGAAAAGAAAUAAAGCUUAAUAUCUUAUAUCCUUCUUGUUACUCUCUGUUACAUUUUAAGAAUCUGAUUAAUAAAAUUUCAAUACAUUCAAUUCUUUUGAUGUCUAGACCACUAGGUCUGGGAGUUGCCUGGCCCGGCCGUCGGCGCCUCCCCUCCUGAGCAUGAGCAGCUCUGACAGACGGACCAGACCUCGUCUCCUGUCCUCACUCUUCUCACAAAGACUUUUCAAGGUCAUGGUUUUGCGUGUCCCAGGACCAUGCAGGGUCAGAGUCCAGGAAGUGGUUCAAAAAGGAUGGAGGCGUUAAGAUAAAAUAUCUGUGGUUUGAAGGCCUGCUCGAGUCUAAUCUUUAGGAACAUGUAACCUCUUCACAUUUUAAAGUAACUGGGCUUUUCAUGUAUUACCCUUCAUAUGCAGUCAUGUGCCGCAUAACAUUUUGGUCAACGACAGACUGUAUUCAACGGUGGUCCCAUAAGAUUAGCACCAUAGAGCCCAGAUGUGUGGGAGUUUAUACCAUCUAGGCUCAUGUAUGUACACGCUACAAUGUACACACAAGGACAAAAUCACCUGACGAUGGGUUUCCCAGAACGUGUCCCCAUCAAGUGGCGCAUGACUGUAUUUACAUUUGUUACAUUCUUGAGAUCAUAAUUUUGUACCAUUUUGAAAAUUGUCAUUUUCAUUCUUUUACUGAACAUAUUCCAUGUUUUUAUAAAGUCCUGUAUCUGUGGGCAAUAACUAAAUAAAGG